GGUGACCUGCGGAAGGAUCAUUACCGAGUGAGGGCCCUCUGGGUCCAACCUCCCACCCAUGUUUAUUGUACCUUGUUGCUUCGGCGGGCCCGCCUCACGGCCGCCGGGGGGCUUCUGCCCUCUGGCCCGCGCCCGCCGAAGACACCAUUGAACACUGUCUGAAGAUUGCAGUCUGAGCAAUUAGCUAAAUAAGUUAAAACUUUCAACAACGGAUCUCUUGGUUCCGGCAUCGAUGAAGAACGCAGCGAAAUGCGAUACGUAAUGUGAAUUGCAGAAUUCAGUGAAUCAUCGAGUCUUUGAACGCACAUUGCGCCCCUUGGUAUUCCGGGGGGCAUGCCUGUCCGAGCGUCAUUGCUGCCCUCAAGCACGGCUUGUGUGUUGGGCCCCGUCCUCCUUCCCGGGGGACGGGCCCGAAAGGCAGCGGCGGCACCGCGUCCGGUCCUCGAGCGUAUGGGGCUUUGUCACCCGCUCUUGUAGGCCCGGCCGGCGCUUGCCGACAACCAUCAAUCUUUUUUCAGGUUGACCUCGGAUCAGGUAGGGAUACCCGCUGAACUUAAGCAUAUCAAUAAGCGGAGGAAAAGAAACCAACAGGGAUUGCCUCAGUAACGGCGAGUGAAGCGGCAAGAGCUCAAAUUUGAAAGCUGGCCCCCUCGGGGUCCGCAUUGUAAUUUGCAGAGGAUGCUUCGGGAGUGGCCCCCAUCUAAGUGCUCUGGAACGGGCCGUCAUAGAGGGUGAGAAUCCCGUAUGGGAUGGGGUGUCCGCGACCAUG
rnacentral:rRNA from 1 species